rnacentral:lncRNA from 1 species
ACUCCUUUAAACAUUUUAUGGUCUUACUACAGAAACUUAAACAUGUGUCAAACACUUGUCUAAAAAAAAGUGUGGCUGCAAAAUGGACCUUAUUUCAACGUCAUAAUCUGUAAUUUUUUAGACAAGUGUUAAACUGACGUAUAAAAAGUUUUUGUGGUACGACGGUUUAUUUUUAGUGGAAUAUACACUGGAAGAAGUUUCAGUUUUUGAAGUUAUACAUAGGGGGAAGUCCCGUAACGCCGGGCGGCACCCAGCGCCGGACACUCGUACUAUUUAAGCGUGUAUAAAUCUGUUCGAUUCGAAAUACAAGUGAAAGGGGCGCGGGGGGCACACAGGUACAGGAUCAGGCGCCGCACCUCACCUGUGAUUCACACGACCACGGCAGGAGCAACCGUUAGCUGGUUUAGGUGCGAAAUCACUGCGACAGCUAAAUAUCAAUAUUAUAGAAGAAAGAAGAUAAUUUAAAUGGAAGACAAGAAAAAGAACGGAUCCUGUGAGCCACAGAGCUUACAAACUGCUAUUGAUGAGGUUAUGUCAAAAAAAGCGAGACAAUUUUCGUAGUUUGCUUAGAAGACUGGAUCUAGUGCUCGUCCUGUCGUGGGUGGAUACGUGAAGUAUGUGAAGACAUUCUAGAGUGUGAAAAUGGCUAAAUAUGCUGGUUAUUUUGAAAUUUCCAGUGCUAGGGGUAUGGCGCAAAUAGCCGUCCGGUACUAGGUGCCACUUUUUAAAAUUACGUUUUUUGUUAUCAAGGUUUGAUUGUUAGUAUUAAUUAUUUUGGAGCAGAGGUUGCAUUUUUGAUAAUUUAAUUUGAUUUCUAACUUUGUCAUCUUAUAUAAAUCAUAAUUUAAUAAACAUUUCUUAAAGUA